UACGGAGGGUGCGAGCGUUGUCCGGAAUCACUGGGCGUAAAGGGCGCGUAGGCGGCGCGAGUAGUCAACGGUGAAAGCCCGGGGCUCAACCCCGGGUCGGCCGUCGAUACUCUCGUGCUUGAGCACUGUAGAGGCAGGUGGAAUUCCGGGUGUAGCGGUGGAAUGCGUAGAGAUCGGGAGGAACAUCCAUGGCGAAGGCAGCUACCUGGACCAACACUGACACUGAGGCACGAAAGCGUGGGGAGCAAACAGG
rnacentral:rRNA from 1 species